rfam:Myxococcus stipitatus DSM 14675, complete genome.
GGGGGUGUAGCUCAGUUGGGAGAGCGUCGCGUUCGCAAUGCGAAGGUCGUCGGUUCGAUCCCGUCCACCUCCA